UACGGGGGGGGCAAGCGUUGUUCGGAAUUACUGGGCGUAAAGGGCUCGUAGGCGGCCAACUAAGUCAGACGUGAAAUCCCUCGGCUUAACCGGGGAACUGCGUCUGAUACUGGAUGGCUAGAGGUUGGAAGAGGGUCGCGGAAUUCCCAGUGUAGAGGUGAAAUUCGUAGAUAUUGGGAAGAACACCGGUGGCGAAGGCGGCUUACUGGUCCGGUUCUGACGCUGAGGCGCGAAAGCGUGGGGAGCAAACAGG
rnacentral:rRNA from 1 species